UACGUAGGGUGCAAGCGUUAAUCGGAAUCACUGGGCGUAAAGCGCACGUAGGCGGCUUCUUAAGUCAGGGGUGAAAUCCUGGAGCUCAACUCCAGAACUGCCUUUGAUACUGGAGAUCUUGAGUCCGGGAGAGGUGAGUGGAACUCCGAGUGUAGAGGUGAAAUUCGUAGAUAUUCGGAAGAACACCAGUGGCGAAGGCGGCUCACUGGCCCGGUACUGACGCUGAGGUGCGAAAGCGUGGGGAGCAAACAGG
rnacentral:rRNA from 1 species